GUGUGUGUCUUUCAGUGGCAAUUAACCUCAAUUAUUAUCCUAUAGUCCAUAAAAACAGCUGCAUGGAACAGGGUCUGUGAGGGAUCCGUAUCUAGGUCUGGAAUCUCCUCACAGUUCUCCAAGAGAGUGACUAUGUUUGGGGCAUUUUCAGACAUGCUAUAAAUCCUAACUGGCAUUGUUUGCUCCCAGCGAUAAAAGAAAGGGUAGCAGGUGUGCCUCCCAACCAACCCUUUAUUGCCUGGGCAUGUGACAGCAUUUUGCGGCACCUCAGUAAUGAGCCAGAGAAGAAGGAAAGGCAGAUGAAUUUGCCAGCAUUAUUGCAGGUAUCUUGAAGGAGAGUUGAGCCCAGCUUUUCAAUUCAUACAGAUCCUUUCUCUGAAGAACCCCUUCCUGAUAUUGUCACUUUAACACAUCUCUGUGGUUUUAUUUUGAAAUUUUUAAAGGUACAGUCAUGUGCCGCAUAAUGACAUUCAGUCAAUGACAGACUGCAUAUAUGAGGUGGUCCUGUAAGGUGAUAAUGGAGCUGAAAAAUUCCUACUACUGAACGACAUCAUAGCCAUUGUAACAUCAUAGCACAACCAAUCACCUUUUCUAUAUUUAGAUGAGGAAACUGAGGCACAAAAAGGUGAAGUCCUGAGCUCACAGUCAUGCAACCAGCAGGUGGUGAAACACACCUCCAAGCUGCCUGCCUCCUAAGCAUCAAGCUUUGUGGCCCAGGAUCUACUUCAUGCUCCAAAUAUUCAUGGACCUUCCCAGGACCUCAACAAAACAAAACCAUGAAGAAAAACCUUGACAUGAACCCCAAAAAAACCCAGUCAGCAAUAUUUUAAGUUAAAUUUUGAAACAAAUCCAAACGGGUUCCUCCCCAUAAAUCUACCAGUAAAUUGUGCAGAAUCAGAACUGAAGCCAUGCCCUUUCUUAAAGUAUUGAAUUAGAAUAAAUGAGAACAUCUAAAUAUUUUCCAAAUUCAUAUUCCAGUUAUAAUAUUCAAGUUUCUUAGUUUCUCUCUGUUCACAUUCAACAUGAAAUAGUCCCAUUAGUCAGUAGCAAGAGCUGCAACAUUUCUACAGGUACUAAAGGAUGUGAUCAGAGCAGGGAAGAUGGCCAACAAGAUGAUGCCACUCUAGCGGGUGCCCAUCCAAAUCAUAACCCAUGAAUACUGCGGCUUUAUUAUCUUGGACAACAGAAAGCUGAUCUUGUAAUUGGAUGAUCACCCCUGCUUGCAUGCUUUCGAGUAGUUACGUAUGACAAAAGGAGCUACUGGUUUUGUGAUGAUGGGUUUCUGGGUAAACCCUAGAUGCAGAAGCAGCUUUUAAGCAUAGCAGAGCAAGAGUCAAAUGGUUCUGAAAAAAGUUUUAACUCUGAGAUGACUUCUCCCCGCUUCUUUCACUCUACCCUCUCAAUCCUAGAGCAAGUGAGCAGAGUAGGUAAAGCUGUUUCCUCCAGAAAGAUGAUCCAUAUUUUAAACAGCUCUGUGAAUGGGGCACUAAGACUCAGAAGAUCUGGUUUUCAGUUCGCAUUCUGCCUUUAACUGGUCUUGAAAGUUUGGGCAACUCAAUUAUCUCAUGGAGUCAGUAUUUGCAUCUGUACAGUGGGGAUAUGAAUACCUGUCUUACCUACACGGAGCUGUAAGAGCAACAGAAUGUGAGCUGGCAUGAUGUUAUUAUAUGUAUCACCUUGGUUAUUUUAAAACAUGCUUGAUGUAUUAGCCUCUCUGUUUCCUCUUGAGUUUUCCUGCAGAGAUGUCUUUUAAACCAAGCAUCACUCUCCCAAUCAGAGACAGGGCUAACUAGAUAGACAAAUGAGAAAGAGAAGUCGGGGAUGGGAUGGGAGCACAGCCAAUGCAGAAACAGUCAUGUGUAUUCUUCUAGACAGGUGAGCAGAGACAUUUUCAGGAUUUCAGGGGGGCAGGAUGGAGACAUGGGGGAAGCUUCUGGGUCAGUUCUUGAUGGUGUGGCUUCAGUAUGUAGAUGCACACAUUCUCCUCUAAGUCGAAAAGAAUAUACUGGGGGUUUCCAUUCUUUUGGAUUUUCCAGGCUUCUAACGACCUCCACCAUUCCCAGUCCAGAGGAGGUCAUGGGAUGAUAGAAAGUGGGAGCAACCAGGGCAUGUGCCUUUUCAUUUCGCAGUGGAGGGGCUGAGGCUUGGAAAGAGGGCCUGGCUUAGGGAAUACAGACUUCAGCUCAGAAAAUCUAACAGGAAUUCUCUUCUGUGACUGCUAGACAGGCUUGAAACUACUUAGCAAUAUUCUGAUUUUUUUUCUCUGCAAUAUCAAUAAGGGUAAGCACCCAGUGCCUUCUGGCAGCACCCCCAGAAGCUGCCACCUAC
rnacentral:lncRNA from 1 species